GAACGUAGCUCCGUGUAUAGAUAGCACUAUGUAAUAAUUAACAACGCCGUAUAAUAACCUGAAUUUUACUAAUUUUAAAAAUGAUGUACUUUUCCGAUGAAGUUGAUUAUUAAUUCAUUUAUUACAUAUAUUUGUUUAGUGUUUAUUGAACAUUGUAGUUAAAAUAGUUAAAUAAUACCUACGUGCACAUGUUUGUAAAUUUACUGUAAAAUAUCCAUUAUAAUUUCUAUAUUAAUUCGUUAUUCAUCAUGAAGGUGACGUAUUUCUGGUUAAUAUAUUCAUGUUCAAUUUUUGGAAUAGAUGUUUUUUGCGACAAAAAGCUUGAAAAGCGACAAAUCGAAUCAUCAUCAUGUGUUGGUAACAACAAUAUUAACUAUUAUUAUGUUAUUAUAUAAGUAUCGACAAUUAGUAGCUGCUAGGGGGAGGCUUGGAUCCCAAAAACUUAACGAGCCCUAUAUAAAAUAAUAAACAAGCUAUGCAAUAUAUGCUUUACACCUACUGUAAAUUAUUACAGAUUUAUUACAUUCAUAUAUUAUAUAAAAGAUUAUACAUUUCCCAUUAAUUUAUCUUAUACUCUACUGUAGUGUAAUGAUAUGCUUACACAUUAUAUAAUUUAUUGUAUAAUUUAUUAUCUUUUUAAAUAAAUAACGGUAAAGUUGUCGCACGCAGAUAGCAGUCAAUAAAAACCAAUAAUCUCUAUUGAUCACUGAUGAAAGAAACGAUUUACAUUGUUUGGUCACGUAGGAACUCACACUUUAUUGCGACAGUAUGGCGCAAGGCGUGUGAUCUUUUACGUGUGCCGCCAGAGACAAGGGAUGGUCCAAUGGGGCUCUCCGCCGUCAGGGAGAGAGCCGAUUUCUCGAAGGACGCGGAGGCCUUUGUUGGAGCCGCCUGCGACGCUGGCAGGCUUGACCACGUCGUCUUCUCUCAUCAGUGCGUACGCACCAUUAGAAUUAGUAACAUCUCUCAAGAGUGCAUGAGCACCUAAUACUUUAAUAAAACACCCACCACACCGGAGACAGACUGCGAGCGACAACUGGACCAUUUUCACCACAACGAAAUGCUUCAGUGUUGUUUUUUAUUUGGAUUCGUGUGAUCAACACAUCCUAGUUUUGUUAAGAAAAUUACUGGUUAACGAGUUCAACAGCGAAUAAGAUGCCCAAAAUCUGUAAAUCGAUGUAAAUAUGGAGCUUGUGUGGAUACGAGUACGAAAUGCGAUGGUAAAAACGAUUGUUUCGAUGGCUCUGACGAAAACUUACCCGAAUGUAAACAAAGCUCUAUAAACAGUACUCAAUACAUCGAUGGAUCAACCAAAUGCCUUGCAGAUCAGUAUAAAUGUAUAUCUGCCCAAUGUAUUGAUGAAACAUCAACUUGUGAUGGAACUCGAGAUUGUAAUGAUAGGUCCGAUGAAACUUUAGAAUUAUGUGAAACAGUUCAGUGAGUAGUAGUUCCUAAUUCAAAAUCAGAGCCAAUUACACUAAAUCCUGUGAAUAAUACAACACAGCUAACGACGCAGUCCAAUAAAAAGAAAUUAUGUGUUUUACCAACCGUCGAAGGAGUUAUAUAUUCUUACGAAGGUUCAGUUGACAUUUUAUCUAUCGGAACAUUGAUUAAUAAUAAUCGCACUGUAAUUGAGAACUGUCAAGUUGGAUAUCAUAAGGCUUAUCCUAAUAGUUUUAGGGUUUGUACUGGAAAUGGAAAAUGGAUAUCGAGUUCUGGGAAAUUAUGUUUCAAAAUGUGUCCACCAUUAAUAUCAGAUAGUUUAAAUAUUAAAUGUACUCUAAAUGGUAACUAUGCUAAUUGUUCAAAUCUAUCGAUUCCUGAAACAAUAGCCAUGCAAUCAUGAGAAGAAGUUCGCGAAGUUGAUAAGGCGCAGGUUUAACGUUUUUACACUCCAACUAUUAUUAUUUAACCGGUGUAUUGAGUGUCGGGGAUUAAAACAUGAAAAAUUCAAUAGCAGUUUUUCAAGACGUUAGGCCAUACAUUCAAUGGAUUCGUGAAAUAUUUAACAAAUAUACAUCUUAUGCAAAUGACAAUAUAAUAUCUAAGUCCAAUAAUGUGUUAAUGGCAAUGCCAUAAUCAUAAUUAUUUAUAAUAGUAAUUGAAAGCAAUAUCUGUAUACAUUUUUCUCUUAAUUUACAAUUUUUAAUAUUUAAAAAAACAGUUUCAAUUGUAUGAUCAGUUAACAAUUAAAAUUUGCCAUUUAAAUUACAACUAAUGCAUAUUAACUAAUACACAUAAAAAAAAAUACCAUUUGACAAAUUUAUAGAUGUCAACUAAAAUGUAAGUAUUUAGUUCUUAACGGAAAAAAAUACAUUAUACAACUGUAUUAACUUUUAUAUAGGCACGGACUGUGAUGCUAGAUAAUAACAAGGUCUAAAAACAAAU